GGCAUAACCUAGAAAGCCAUCUUCGCAUUCCCAGAAUGACUUCCCCAGCUGAGGAAUUCGGCGUUCAGGGUUGCGGCUUUCUUCUGUGCUUUUAUGAGAGCCCCCGCUCAAGGCAUCUUCUACAAUUUGUUGAGUUGGAAGAGAAACAAGGCAAAUGGCAGGAAAAUCAAAUGAGAUCAUGACUUCACCAGAGCAAAACCGAGAUCCCUCGCCCCCAGUGAAAGCAAACAAAAGCUGGAAGAGAACGAGUUCGACCUGAUCUCCUCCGCCUUCUCCACCCCCAUCUCCAGGCCCAGACCCGGAGACGCCGGGGUUCAGAGGGGAGACUCAGAGUCCCAGAGCGCCCUCCACCCCGAGAAAGACCCAGAGCUGCCCUUGGGAUUCCAGGACAAGGAACCAGAGGAGUGUCCUCUAAGGAGGCUGCUGGGCGGGAUCACGAUAAGCGUCCAGGGACCGUGCCCUCCAGCUCCGCUGCUCCACCCAUGGCCAUCUGGGACUUGCUGGGACCAACAAAUUGAGGCAGACGUGGUGGCCCUCCAGCUUCGGAACCAUCGUUCACCCUGCAUCUGUCUUUGCUUUCACGUUCUUGGAAUCUCAAGACCUCAGAGGGUGAAGAGGGGGCCAGCCUCCUAGAAGAUGGACGGGAGCCAUGGCACCUGAGCCGGAGCCAGACUGCUGCUGGCCACGCGAGGGCAGCCACCUGGACCCUCCAGCCCUCGUCGAGUGGUCAGGUGACCACGGUCACACGCAUGAGCCCAGGAGAGGCCAGCAGAACCACCCAGUGUGCCAGUAAGACACGACCAGCUGGCCCUUUCCUGGAGCCAUCAAGGCUUGGGUGGUUUGUUACACAGCAGCUAGAGCUCCAAUCAUUGUUAACACAGUGAAAGCGGAGGCUCGGCCUUGAAACCACAGCCGUAAAGAGGAUUCCAGCAUGACACAGGGAUGACAGCACUUUCUGGAGGCUUUGCCCGAACACCCCUACUGCGUCCUUAGCACAUUCAUUAGGAUUCCGGGAGCCCAACCCUGCUUUGGCUUUUCGCUUGCACGUUAAAUAUUUGACCACCAUUUCCCACCUGAAAGAAAGAGCUACCUUUAGCACUGGGGACACAGAUACAUUUGGCACAAUAAUGUCUUCUAAGAACUCUCAGGACAACAAAGGAGGUAGACAAGAACCUUAUUGUAUUCGCUCAGCAAAUAUCUGUGUCCCAGGCACUAUGCAGAGGGCUGGGAAUACAAUGAUAGGAAAGCCACAAAUCCAGACUCACAGGGUCGGAGCCUGGCCCUGAAGGGGACGCUGCUGAAAAGAAAAUGCAUUAACGGAUAAUGGCAAACAGUGCUAAAUGCUGUGAAGCAGCAGCCCAGAUGGCUCUGGAAGAGAAUUAGUCUGGUGAGAGGAGGCCAGAAAGGUUUUACUGGAGGAAGAGCAUUUCGCACAAAGACUCGAAAGAGCAGAUGAAGUGCCUGGCCAAAGCGGAGGGGAAGAAGGUUCCAGGCCCGAGGGAAUAUGGCGGUGGCCCUCACCAGGAGCAGUUAGGUUAACCUAGAACCCAACUCUAUUGUACCUUUAGACACAGAGUGGCUUUUGCCUGGUUUUACCAUACAUUGAAUUUUCCUGGAAUGCAAGGACCAUGCCAGUUGAGAGAAGGCUGAGGUGGAUUUGCUUGGGGAUUCACACUGGUCACCCUCCUGGAGGGAGAGCACUGGCAGCAACUCCACUCCACGUGCUGGCGGCACAUGAGCGGUCAACACCCCACACCUAGACCUGCCCGCACGUGGAGCGGUCCCUCUCACCUGUUUCUACCUGUUCUGCUCAAGCACCUGCCUCCUUCAUUGGGACUUGCAGCAUUAUAAUAUAUAUGGUUUUAUUAUACAUUCCACUUAUUCUUCCUUCUUUGAGAGUUUAAGAAUGACAUGUGUAUGUUUUCAAUCCAAUGAGUAGGUAGGUUAUAUUAUUUAUGAGGUUCAUUUUGGGGUAGACAAAGCAGCCCUGGAUCUGAUGAGGUUAAAACCACAGGUUAAGACCUGCCUUUCGCUGUGGGACAGGGAGUUGGGCUGGUGUAAGAACUACCAGGAGGAAGGGGGUUGGAGCCCAGAGACCUGGGAGCAGGGUGGGACCAGAUGAGGCUGGCAGAGGACUGGGGACAUCACAACCCUCGACUCUGCCGGAGGGGAUGCGAAAAGGUACCAUCUGGUGGUACCUCCGAGGUGCAACAUGGAACAUCACCCGAAACAGCCAGUCCGUUCCUAGGCAAGACCCAAGAGAAGUGGAAACAUGUCCUGAACACAGAUGUUCACAGCAGCACUAUUCGUAUGAGCCCAAAAGAAGAAACAACUAAAAUGCCCAUCAACUAGUGAAUGCAUGAACCAAAGAGUAGGUUCUUCAUAUAAUGGAAUAUUAUUCAGCCACAGAAAGGAAUGAACUACUGAUACAUACUGUGAUAUGGACGAACCGUGAAAACGCUCUGCUGAGUGAAAGAAGCCAGACGCAAAAGGCCACAGAGUAUGCAGUUCAGUUUACAUGAAAUGUCCAGAAGAGGCAAAUCCACAGAAGCAGAAAGAAGAUUUGGGGUUGCCAGAGGCUGGGGCUGAGGAGGUGAUGGAAAGUGACUGACAGCGGGUCUGGAGUUUCCUUGGCGGGCGAUGGAAAUAUUUUGGACUUAAAGAGUGGUGAGAAUGGUGCGACUUUGUUAAUAUUGUAAGUAAAACAACAUCAACAGUGAUAAAGACUGGAUGGUAUGCCUUAAAGGGGUGACUUUUAAUGGCAUUUGAGUUAGAUCUCAAAUAAAACCAACAGAGGACGCUGAAGAGAUAGACAGGGUCACCGCAUUGGAGGCAUCACGGCCCUAGUCGAAGAGUUUGAUUCUCAACCUCGGACUGGUGGGAGCCACUGACGGUUUUAGGCAUCACCGUGACAAUAUAGAUUUGCAGUUGAGAAAGAUCUCUGUGUAGAGUGGACUGGAGAUGGGCCGCUUCGAAGGCCACAAAAAGCCAGGUAUCUGGAGCCACACCUGGCUUCAGGCUUGAGCAGGUGAGGAGGCGGGCCCACCCUCGGGGACGCUGCGAGACCACCAUGUGGACAGCCGUCUUCUAGAACAGCUGUCACGGGGGGACAACCAUGCUUGAGGAGACAAGAGCUGGGAGAAAUUGCUUUAGACGGGGUGGUGGGGGGGCCUGUGGGAAGACAUUGUAGGAGAGGCGGCCUUGGAGCAGAACUUUUGGUGCAGGGCCCGCAAAGAUUCUAAGGGCCUGCUGGGAAGAAGGGAUCACAGAAGCAGAAGCGCGGAGGCCAGGAGGGCCCAGGUUAAAUGGGCUUCUGUUUAGCCGGGGUUCUCCAGAGAAACAAAACCAAUAGGAACUAUAUAGAUACAUGUAUAUACAAGAGAAGAUUUAUUAUAGGAAUUGGUUUAUGUGACUCUGGAGACCAGGAGGUCCCAGAUCUGUCCUCUGUAAGCCAGAGAACCAGGGAAGCUGGUGGCGUAAUGCAGCCUGAGGACAGGGGACCUGAUGGCGUGUGUCCCGAUCCAAGUCUGAAGGCCAGAGACCUGAGAGCACCAGUCACCAAGGACAAGACGAGGGGGCUGUUCCAGCUCAGACCAGGACAGACGUGCUCCUCCUUGGCCUUAUCGCUCUGUUCAGGCCUCUCCGAUCAGAGCCGCCCAUGAGCAUCAGCGAGGGUCUCCUCUGUCCUUCCUCAGACUCCCGAUUCACACGCUCGUCUCUCCCAGAAACAGCCCUCAGAGACGCACCCUGCAAUGCGGUUUCACCAGCCAUCCGGGCAACCCGUCGUGCAUUAAGCUUACCACCACCCUGACGCCCGCACGCAGCUCCUUCAACCGCAUUUCCUCGCCUCGUGGAGACAACAGCCGGGUCUUAACGCCCCCUGACACGGAACCACCGUCCCGCCUCCACCAGAAAACGCCCUGAUCUGACCCCAGCCGCAGAGAUCUGACCCCUCCCGUUUCUCACAGCCUCCCCGCGAGGCUUUAGCGCUUCUCCACGGGAGACCGAGGUUCACAGGGAUCUCACGGACUUGACCCAGAAGUCCCACAGCCACACAAGGGCUGGCUGGCUUCUCGUCUCAGGUCUAUUUGAACACAACCACUGCACAAGGUGGGUUCAGGCCAACUCGUAGCGUGAGGACUUUAUUUCACAGUCAGUAAAGUCGUUCCUUCUCUUCCUGCACCAUAAAACUCCUAAAACU
ensembl:lncRNA